CAGUCCAUAAUAGUCAAAUUUUAAAAAUAACGCUCAAUUAUGAUUUAAUUAUCCAUAAUUAAAAAUGAAAAAUUAAUAAUCAAUUAUAUUUAUAUGUUUUAAUUAUCCAAAAUUUCGUGUUGGACUAAUCGCCCAUCUUUUACUAGACUUUUAUUUUUAAACACACAGACAGUCGCGUGCUUCAGAUGAGUUACGGACACUUCACAAGCGUAUCGGGCGAUUAUUUAAUAAAAUGUCAAUAAUUAAGAAGGAUAUUUAGAAAAUUAAAAUUAUAUAUCUUUCUCCAUAUCUAGCUUAAUUAUUUACAUUUUCAAAUAUAUAUUACAUUGUUUUUAUUUUGUUGAUAUUUAUUUUUUCUUUUUAAAAUGUAUAUAAUGGAUAAUCUUUAUUUUUUUUCGACUUAAAGCGCUAUGUCCCUCUAGGGACACUGGCACUUUAAAGGUAAAUUAAACAUAGAAAGAAAAUAAAGAUUAUUUGAAAUAUGUACAAGAAUUUGUAUGCAAUUUAUAUGAAAAGGAAAAAAUAUCAACACAAUUGAAAUAUGUACAAAGGGUUGGCAUGCAAAUUUAGCUACAUGAAAUCAAUUGUGAAGUAGUGUAUUCGAGGUAAAAUUUAUAGAUUGAAAAAAGUUUUAAUGAAUAUUUUAGAAUGAAAAUAUGCAAGAUAUUAGAGAAUUAUUCAUAACACAAAACUAUGCUAAACAGAGUUAAUGUCUAAAUAAAAUCUUUCAAUGGAAUUUAGUAGUUUUUUUUACUUAGAGGACGAAGCUGAAAUACUAUUACGGCCCCCUCGGCCCAGCUAAAAAGUGUAAUUUUUGAAAAUUUUGAAAAAUACUUUAAGCAUGAUCCAAAUGAAAUAUUAAUUGUAAUAAUGGUAAAAAUAAGUGUUGAAAACAUUAUAAAAGAUACAUUUUUAAAAUAAAUUCAAUAUAUAUUUUAUUAUUAAAUUUUGAAAAAAUCAAAAUUUUAUUCAAAAAUGAAAAUCACUCCAACACAAAAAUGAUCCAAAAAUAAAUUUAUAUAAUGAAAAUGACAUUUAUUUUUUAAAAAAUGAAGUAAUUUAUAUAUAUAUACAAUAAUUUAAUGCGAUAAAAUAAUUUUUAUACCUUAUAAUAAUCUUUUAUUGUAUGGUACAGUUUGAAGCAAUCACCAAGGCAUAGUGGAACUAGGCAGGUCUCACAUUCAUAGGCUGUAUCUUUUCUUGCCUGCUUGCCAGUGGUUACCCUGCCUUUUUCAGCGCAAACUUGGCAUCUGCGUUGGGCAUAUGUUUUGCCUUCAACUUUGAUUCGGCGAAUAAAAUGACGUCCAAUAAGUCGAUCAGAUUGUUCACCGCUUGAAGGUUGAGCAUCAAGAAUAUCUUGAUUGGCUUCUGAGCAAAGAGCUUCGCAUAUUGAAAUAUGGAAGUCCCUCAAAGACAUUUUAGCAUCAGGAUUCAAUUUAUUGUAAAUUAUGCAUGAAUUUACAAUAGCAAGUCCAUAUAUAUGGAAAAAUAGUUUCUUCCACCAUUUCAUUGUGCGUCGAUCAAAAGAAUAAUAGGAGAGCAUCUGGUCACUUCGGUCCACUCCAAUUUUAUUCUUAUUGUAGUCAAGAACAACUUGUGGUUUGAAUAUUGGAGCUUGCGAAAGUCCAGGUCUCCCCAUGACUUCAACCAUUUGAUGGUCGUGAACAGUUGAGAUCAUCCAAACAUCUCUGGUGUGGCGCCAUUUCAUUGCCAUUAGGCUACCCUUGAAUAGAUGCAUUUCUUCACCUUUCUUCAAUUUUUUUGAAAAGGAUUUCUUAGGAAGACCUUUCCUAUUAGUUUUUACUGUACCAACAGCCAUUGUUUUCUUUUCCCAUAGAUAGUUGAAGAGGUGGGGCGAAGAAAACCACCUGUCACAAUAAAUGAUGUGACCUCUGUUGAAGAGAUGAGAGGCCAAUCGUUCUACCAAAUUUGGUAUAGAGUUAUAGCCUUCUUCCUGGCUUGGAUGUUUACCUGUGUAUAUGUUGAUAUUACAGGUAUAACCAGAAUUGGCUUCACAAAUAUGGUAGAUCUUUAUUCCAUAUUUGUGAGGCUUGCCUUUUAUGUAAAUACGGAACCUUAUUCUUCCUCUGAAUGGACAAAUAGCUUCAUCAAUGGUCAGAUUCUGGGUCGGGGAAUAAAGGCAUUGGAAUUUUUUGGUAAGAGGAUCUAGAAAAGUUCUUAUUUUAUAUAGAGGAUCAUGUCCACUUUGUCCAAAAGGAAUAUAGGAAGAAUUAUCAGCCAGGUGAAGCAUUGACAAAAUUGCUUCGAACCUAUUUCUAGCCAUUAUUUUUUUACAGAAAGUGGUAUUGAGGACAGAAUUGGUGGACCAGUAAUCUUUCAUUCUUGGCUUUAUAACAAGGCACAUGUGUAUAAUGCAGGCAAAAAAUAACUUUAUUUCUGCAAUUGACACUGCUUUCCAAUUAGCCAGAAAGCUAUAUGCCUUGAGAGGACCCCUUUUCUUCUGUUUAUCAAUUGUAGACCUUGCAUACUUGUUUGUUUCUAAUUUAAUUUUCCUGUACAUUUCUUCGUCAAUAAAAGUUUUGAAAAUAUUAUAUGGGGACAUUGUUUGUGUAAAAAAAUCCAUUUUAGGGCCAGGUUGGUCUAAGAAAACCGGACAGUUUACUGAGGGAUUCCGAACAUUUGCCCAACCCUCAUCUUGGGGCUCUUCAAGUCUCCUUUGUUUAGAUGGAGGCUGAGCAAAUUCUCCUUCUUCCAAAUCAUAUAUUUCAGUUUCAUCUGAAUCCAGACCUUCAACAUAAUCUGGAUCAACAACUGGAUCAUCAAUUUCAGACCCAGAAUCAGAGCAAAAUUCGUCUAGAUGUUUUUCAUCAAGAGAAGAUUUAUAAAAUGGACCUACCAAUUUGGAGGUGCUUGGUUGACUAGGAUCCAUCAUAAAAUGAAAAUAAUCCUUCAAAAAGUAUUUUAUAAGUGAAAGAUAUUGAAAAUAAGACAAAAAAACAAGAGCACUAUAAAUAGGUAAGUUGAGCACACUGCAGUUGUUUACAGAAGAGGAAGGAAGUGGGAAAUCACGUGUGCCAUGAUGUAAAGGGGGUGGAAGGGGGGGCGAGAGGGAGGGGAGGAGCCUGUCAAGGUCAUGUCAUCAUGAGACGGCCGCGAAAAGUUGUUGGGGCCAGGUGCCCAAUGACGUGGAUUGCCACCCGAUUUUCUAUUGAUUUUUAAAGUUUCAUGACGUGGAUCCACGUCAUUGGGGUUUGGUGCUUUAAUAGCAAUGACGUGGAUCCACGUCAUUGGGGUUGAAAGUGUUAAAUUGUAUACAUAUUUUUUCUGAUAUUAGAUCAAACGGGUUUGUUACAUUUAGUCCAUUUUUUAUUCUAUACUCUUCGUAGAAGGGGUAAUGUAGCAGCAGAACAAUAGAGGUUUGUUCCUCACAUUCAUAGAAAAAUCUAGAAUCUUGCACUCCUUUGAUAUAUUUUUAAAAUCUUCAAAAAUUAUCGUGAUUUGUAAUAAAUUGAGAGUUGUGGAAAUUUGCCAGAAAAUAGUUAGGAAUAUUAGCGGGAAAAAAUCGAAAUGUUUGGUUAGUAUUUGUUUUCAAUAUGGUCAUUCUAGAUUUUAUACAUUUUUCAAGUAUGCCUGGAAUAUAUCCCUGUUGGUCCUCAAUCGACAAAUUAUUGAGAUAAUUUCGUACUUCUGGGUUACAUAUAGUCCGUAAUCAGGGGAAUAUUUGCCAGAGUAUGCACACAACUAUAGUUAGUGGUUUUAUAAGUUUGGGUACAUCAUAUAUUUGAUAUUGGAGUUGAAUUUGUGUAACUUCUUUUUAUUAAUAUAUGUAUACCAGACCCCGGUUCCGUAAGUGAGUAUCGGUCUGAAGAUUGUUUUGUAUAAAUUCAGUCUUUUCUGAGUGCGUAGUACCCAAGAUUUGCCACAAAUCUAAAAGAGUAAAUUUUCUAGUAUUUGGUUUCUAUUUAGUAUAUUGUUCAAAUGAGGAUUUAAAUUUAAUUUAUUCUUUCUUUCUAUGAUUUACAAAGGUAUUUCCUAAAAUUGUUAUUUAUUUAACAGGCAUAAUAAUAUUAUUUUUCAAUUAAGAGUAAAUUGCAAAUUCAUCUUAGUUAUGCACAAAUGUAGAAUACAUGUUUCAUCAACACUUAUUUUUAAUUUGUUUUCUGUACCUUAGUCGUCAACCUUUUCAAAAAUACGCUCAAUUGAAUUUUUGAAGGUUGCUAAAUUUUCGUUCAAGUAUAUUAUUGUGAAAUAAUUGGCAUAGCAAAUUAUUUCUGAGUUUGGUCAACAUAUCAUUUAUAAAUAUCAUCUAAAGCAAUGGAGAUAAUGGUCCACCUUGAGGGCAACCUUUUGAUAAUGUUUUAGAGAUUUUUCUGUUACUAGAAUUAAAAAUCAUUUUACUAUUUUUCAGAAGGGGUUAUGAAAGUUUGAUCAGGUCGACAGGCAUAUUAUCUUCAUCAAUUACUUUGAUCAAAGCUGGUCAUCAUGUAUUGUCAAAAGCUCCUUCAAUGUCUAUUGCAAUUAACGUCACUAAUUUCUUCUGCCUAUGUUCUAUCAUACUAUCUUUAAUUUUAUUCAACACGUUGUCGUUGAUUUUUAUUCAACAAAUCCAUGAUAUUAGGAGCUCAAAAGAUUAUUACUUCCAUAAAAUUCAUGCAUUCGAUUUUUCAAAUUAUUUUUAAUUUGUUUUCUGUACCUUAGUCGUCAACCUUUUCAAAAAUACGCUCAAUUGAAUUUUUGAAGGUUGCUAAAUUUUCGUUCAAGUAUAUUAUUGUGAAAUAAUUGGCAUAGCAAAUUAUUUCUGAGUUUGGUAUUUGUACUUUGGUCAACAUAUCAUUUAUAAAUAUCAUCUAAAGCAAUGGAGAUAAUUGGUUUAGGAAUUACCUUUAGGUGUUAUUUUCCAUUUCCCCGGAUAAUAUCCCUUUUGAAUACAUUUAUUAAAUAGUUUGGGUGAGAACAUUUGAUCAUAUUGUUACUUAUAACGUUUUUAGCUCACCUGAAGCGCGCGACUUGCUUUGUGUUUCAAAAAAAAAAAAACUGAUAAAAGAACCUUCCAAUACCAACGAUUCCAGACAGCCACUCUCCUAGGUAUCACCAACAUAUGUCCAGCAUCGCUAGAAAAUCUCCCAAGAAAGAAAUCUCCCUGGCGACACCUCAUUAAUUGGACUUCCACUGGCAUUGUAUAUAAAUCCAAGAAGACUUAGUUCAGAAGGACAUCCCGGGUAGUUGGCGACUUCUGUACGCUCCAGGAACCUAGGUUACUUAAAUAAAUAAUAAUAAUGAUAAAGGAUGGUCGAUUCUGGAUGUAUCUAUCGAAAUAUUAGAUAUCUGAAACAGUUAUCAAAUCCAUAAUAUAAAAUUAUAAUUAUAAUAUAUAUUAGACGAAAAACAUGGUGAAGAAAGACGAGUUUCUUUUAUUAAUGCAUAGGCGCAAGCUUUCGGGUAAAAACCCUUCAACAGGCAAGCAAUGAAGCGCGACUUAUAAGAUCUAUGGCACAAAUGGUAGGAAGAAAUAUA